rnacentral:rRNA from 1 species
GACGAACGCUGGCGGCGCGCUUAACACAUGCAAGUCGAACGGAAAGGCCUGCUUUCCCUUGUGGAUUGCGGGUACUCGAGUGGCGAACGGGUGAGUAACACGUGAGUGAUCUGCCCCCAACUUGGGUAUAAGCCUGGGAAACUGGGUCUAAUUCCCGAUAGGACUGCAGGGUGGUGCCUGUGGUGGAAAACGAUUUUCUAGUGGUUGGGGAUGAGCUCGCGGCCUAUCAGCUUGUUGGUGGGGUAAUGGCCUACCAAGGCGGCGACGGGUAGCCGGCCUGAGAGGGUGGACGGCCACAUUGGGACUGAGAUACGGCCCAGACUCCUACGGGAGGCAGCAGUGGGGAAUAUUGCACAAUGGGCGGAAGCCUGAUGCAGCGUCGCCGCGUGGGGGAUGACGGCCUUCGGGUUGUAAACUCCUUUCGACCGCGAGGAAGCCACCUGGUUGGAAGGGUGGUGACGGUAGUGGUAGAAGAAGCACCGGCUAACUACGUG